rnacentral:rRNA from 1 species
UACGGGGGGGGCAAGCGUUGUUCGGAAUUACUGGGCGUAAAGGGCUCGUAGGUGGCCAACUAAGUCAGACGUGAAAUCCCUCGGCUUAACCGGGGAACUGCGUCUGAUACUGGAUGGCUUGAGUUUGGGAGAGGGACGCGGAAUUCCUGGUGUAGCGGUGAAAUGCGUAGAUAUCAGGAGGAACACCUGCGGUGUAGACGGCUUACUGGACCAUCACUGACGCUGAGGCACGAAAGCGUGGGUAGCAAACAGG